rnacentral:rRNA from 1 species
CCGGCGACCGGCGCACGGGUGAGUAACACGUAUGCAACCUGCCCUCUUCAGGGGGACAACCUUCCGAAAGGGAGGCUAGUCCCGCGUAUAUCGGUUUCGGGCAUCCGAGAUCGAGGAAAGAUUCAUCGGAAGAGGAUGGGCAUGCGGCGCAUUAGCUAGACGGCGGGGUAACGGCCCACCGUGGCGACGAUGCGUAGGGGUUCUGAGAGGAAGGUCCCCCACACUGGUACUGAGACACGGACCAGACUCCUACGGGAGGCAGCAG